AUAAUAUUACAAAUCCCUGCCGAAAGCAGACAGUAACGAUGACAGGGCGGCCGGCAACGCAGCGCAACGAGGCAAAAGGCAAAAAGGACAACCGCAGAGCAGGGCAAGGCAGCCAGGACAGGACAGACGGCUAAAUAUCCUAUGAAAAGGCAUAUUUUAUACCUCAGCUCAAAUUACUGCGGCCUAAUUGCUAUUUAGGGCUCCUUUCGGAACGUCGAGCCGCGUAAUGUCCAAUUAUUCAAACAAGAGAGACGGAGCCCAUAAAUGCUGACACAACCGUCCGGCCGAGUCUGAUAAUAGACUCAUCAAACUUCGGUCGCCAUCAUCGCCGCGCAGCAGGUAGUUCCUUCACAAGGAGGGUGUUCAUUUCUCUCGGUGUACCAGCGAUGAGGCCCGAACCUGUCGCUCGUGCUGACGACAAAUGUCUUCAGCGGAAGUGACACAACAAAAAUCCCAGGCAACCGAAAAGGAACAAAAAAUGCUUGAUUAUAAAUGCCCGAUGCCGCGAAGAAAAUAAAACUAAUAAAUUGAUGUUGAUCUGGCGAUGCUGGUGAGCUAGAGAGCUGGCGAGGCGAUGCUACCGACUACCGACUACCGUCUCGAAGCAAAACAAACGCGCCAUGACAAUGACAAAAUCAAGCGGCAGGGCUGACAAUGAUGGAAGUGACAACGACAAUGGCGCUGAAUGACAGGAGGAUGUG